UACGUAGGGCGCAAGCGUUGUCCGGAAUUAUUGGGCGUAAAGAGCUCGUAGGCGGUCUGUCGCGUCCGUUGUGAAAACUCGAGGCUCAACCUCGGGCUUGCAGUGGAUACGGGCAGACUAGAGUGCGGUAGGGGAGACUGGAAUUCCUGGUGUAGCGGUGAAAUGCGCAGAUAUCAGGAGGAACACCGAUGGCGAAGGCAGGUCUCUGGGCCGCAACUGACGCUGAGGAGCGAAAGCAUGGGGAGCGAACAGG
rnacentral:rRNA from 1 species